rnacentral:rRNA from 1 species
AUGACCCAAGCUCCUGUCCUGGCCUUGCCUGAUUUUUCUCAGCCUUUUAUCCUAGAGACUGAUGCCUGUGCUUAUGGAAUUGGUGCAGUGCUCAUGCAGGGGGGCAGACCAAUAUCCUACUUCAGCAAAACCAUUGGCCCUAAAGCUGCUGCCUUUUCAACAUAUGAUAAAGAGGCCAUGGCCAUAAUUGAAGCUUUAAAACAUUGGAAACAUUAUUUUGCUGCCUCCUCAUUGAUCAUAAGAACUGAUCAGCAGAGUUUGAAAUAUAUACAAGAACAAAAGCUUACUGAAGGGAUCCAGCACAAGUUACUAGUAAAGCUAUUGGGCUACAACUUCAAGAUUGAGUACAAACAAGGAAAGAACAAUAAAGUUGUUGAUGCUCUCUCUAGAGUGAAAUACAGAUUACAAUCCUUGAUUGCUUCUCAAGUGAAACCUGCCUGGAUAUCCGAGGUCAUUUCCAGUUAUGCCCAGGAUCAAAGGUGCAAGGACCUUUUAGCCCAACUGGCUACCUCUGCAACUGCUGUCCCUAACUAUGCCCUCCAACAGGGAAUUCUGAGAUACAAGAACAGAAUUGUAAUAGGCAAUGAUUCCUUCCUCAGAACCCAGUUAGUGUCUGCCUUACACAAUUCUGAACUUGGGGGCCAUUCUGGACACAGAGCCACCUACCAGAGAGUUAAACUCCUCUUUCACUGGCCUGGCAUGAAGCAGUUCAUUGUGGAUUAUAUCAAGCAAUGCCCCACAUGCCAAAUCAACAAACCAGAACACUGCAAGUAUCCGGGGCUGCUGCAACCUCUCCAUGUCCCUGACUUUGCUUGGUGUCACAUUAGCAUGGACUUUGUCGAAGGCCUACCAACUUCUCAAAACAAGAACAUGAUUUUAGUUGUUGUGGACAGGUUCACCAAAUAUGGGCACUUUAUACCAAUGCAGCACCCCAUCACUGUUAGUACUGUGGCCAAGGCAUUCACAGAUAACAUCUUCAAGUUACAUGGUCUACCCUCAGUUAUAGUUACUAACAGAGAUGCCAUUUUCACCAGUAACCUUUGGCAAACACUCUUCAAGAAACUGGGUGUUAAGCUGCACAUGAGCACUUCCUACCACCCGUAA